rnacentral:rRNA from 1 species
AUGGAGAUUUCUCUUUCUCCCUACCUGCUCGUCGGCCGAGCGUCGACGGUGGAGCAGGGGGGCCAGGGGGCAGAGGCGGAGGCCGGACCCGACGACGCGGUGCUCUUCUUCGGGGUGUCCCUCGUGCUGGGCAUCGCCUCCCGCCACCUCCUCCGCGGCACCCUCCUCCUCGUGCUGAUUCCCGUUCGUGUUGCGUUUGCGUUUGCAUGGGCCGCCAUUAAUCCCGAUCUCCUCCUGGCCGUCUUCCUGCCCGCCCUGCUCUUCGAGAGCUCCUUCUCCAUGGAAGUGCACCAAAUCAAGAAAUGCUUGGCGCAGAUGGUGCUGCUUGCCGUUCCAGGUGUGGUCAUGUCAACGUUUUUGCUUGGCAGCCUUGUCAAGUUUACUUUUCCGCACGACUGGAACUGGAAAACAUCCUUCUUAUUUAGCGGGCUGCUCAGCGCGACCGACCCCGUCGCUGUCGUUACGCUCCUAAAAGACCUUGGAGCAAGCAAAAAGCUCAGCACAAUUAUCGAAGGAGAAUCGCUAAUGAACGACGGUGUUGCUGUCGGCCUCGCGUUUGGAAUUGCAUCAGUUGUAUGGCUGGGCUUUAUUUUCAAUGAUACUAUCAUAGAGAUCUCACUUACUCUCGCCGUCAGCUACAUCGCUUUCUUCACUGCACAAGAUCAAUUGGAGGUCUCUGGUGUUUUGGCCGUCAUGACCUUGGGGAUGUUCUAUGCUGCUUUUGCAAAAACUGCUUUCAAGGGUGACAGCCAGCAAAGUUUACAUCAUUUCUGGGAAAUGGUUGCUUACAUCGCAAACACGCUUAUUUUCAUUCUGAGUGGCGUUGUUAUUGCAGAUGGUGUACUGCAAGAUAAUUUUCAUUUUGAGAGGCAUGGCACAUCAUGGGCGUUCCUUCUUCUGCUCUAUGCGUUUGUGCUAGUAUCACGGGCUGUAGUUAUCAGUGUUUUAUAUCCAUUGUUGCGCCAGUUUGGGUAUGGUAUGGAUGUCAAAGAAGCCGCCAUUCUUGUUUGGUCAGGGCUGCGAGGGGCUGUUGCCCUAUCACUCUCUCUGUCUGUUAAAUUUGUGUUCUUCACUGGUGGCAUCGUGUUUCUGACAUUAAUUUUGAAUGGGUCUAUCACACAAUUUUUGUUGCGCCUGCUUGGUCUGGGAAAAUUAUCAGCAACGAAGCUCCGUGUAUUGAAGUACACACGAUAUGAAAUGCUAAACAAGGCAUUGGAGGCUUUUGGUGAUCUCAGGGAUGACGAGGAACUUGGGCCUGCUGAUUGGAUUACAGUGAAGAAGUAUAUCACAUGUUUGAAUAACUUGGAAGAUGAACAAGCACAUCCCCAUGAUGUUCCAGACAGGGAUGAUCACGUACAUACCAUGCAUUUGAAGGUUACUCGUGUGCGGCUUUUGAAUGGUGUGCAAGCUGCUUACUGGGGAAUGCUUGAAGAGGGACGAAUAACUCAAUCUACAGCAAACAUUUUAAUGAGAUCAGUUGAUGAAGCUAUGGAUCUUGUUUCUAGCCAGCCAUUAUGCGAUUGGAAGGGUUUGCGGUCCAAUGUUCAAUUCCCAAGUUACUAUAGGUUCCUUCAGAUGAGCAGGUUGCCACGAAGGCUUGUCACAUACUUCACAGUGGAAAGAUUGGAGUUGGGAUGUUACAUUAGUGCGGCAUUUCUCCGUGCUCAUAGGAUUGCGAGGAGACAACUACAUGAUUUUCUUGGUGAUAGUGAGAUUGCAAAAAUUGUCAUCGAUGAAAGUACUGCUGCGGGGGAAGAAGCCAAAAAGUUCCUGGAAGAUGUUCGGAUUACAUUCCCUCAGGUACUUCGUGCAUUAAAGACUCGACAAGUAACAUAUGCAGUAUGCUCUGCAGACUUGAAGAAGCUUAAGAGGAACCCGCCGCUGGUGAAAAUGCCAAGAGUUAGGGAACUUUUAAACACUCAUCCUUUAGUCGGCGCACUGCCUGCUGCUCUUCGUGAUCCGUUGUUAAGUAAUACAAAGGAAACAAUAAAAGGACACGGAACAAUUCUUUACGGAGAAGGCUCAAGGCCGACUGGUAUAUGGCUUGUUUCGACUGGAAUAGUAAAGUGGACAAGUCGGAGAUUUAGCACCAGGCAUUCAUUGGAUCCAAUUUUGUCACAUGGGAGCACUUUGGGUCUGUAUGAGGCAUUAACUGGAAAGCCUUACAUUUGUGACAUCAUUACAGAGUCGGUGGUGCAUUGUUUCUUCGUUGAAGCUGAUACAAUAGAGCAAUUGCGCCAGUCGGAUCCUUCUAUUGAGGAUUUCAUGUGGCAGGAGAGCGCUCUUGUUAUUGCGAGGAUUUUUCUCCCUCAGAUAUUUGAGAAGAUGGUAAUGCGUGAGAUGAGGGUGCUCAUUUCUGAAAGAUCUAGUACGAACAUCUACAUUCUGGGGGAAGACAUUGAACUCGGGCAUAAUUACGUAGGCAUCUUACUGGAAGGGUUUCUGAAGACAAAGAACCUACAUUCUAUCAUGGCUCCAGCCGUGCUGCUGCCAUCAAACACUGAUCUGAACUUAUUUGGCCUUCAGCCUUCAGGUACCGUGAACCACGUAGACUACUGCUAUACUGCACCCAGUUAUCAGGUGGAAACUAGAGCAAGGGUCAUCUUAUUUGAGCUAGGGAGGCCGGGGAGAGAAGCCGAUCUGCAAAGAAGUGGAUCGCUGCUGCCUCCGUCCCUCGGACUGCCACGCACGCAGAGCAAAGAGCAUGUCGGUUUGCUGAGGUGGCCCGACAGCUUCAAGAGGUCCAGAGGGCCCGGAAACCCAAGCCUGGCUGACAUCAGAGACCAGCCUGGCAGCUACUCUGCCAGAGCCCUGCAAGUCAGCAUGUAUGGCGGCAUGAUGGAUGAUGACAUUGGCAUGCACCCUGCUCAGCGGCGGCGGCAGCCGAGGCCUGAUAAUGCGGAAGCAAACCAGAAGCACAGCGCAUCAUAUCCCAAGGUGCCUUCAGGGGCAUCCACCACCACCACCACACGGCGUCUGCUCUCUGUAAAGUCGGAGGGUUCCAAUGUGAUGAACAGGAAACCCGCUCCACCCCUCGCAGAAGGCCAGCGACUGCAACCCAGGGCGGUAGCGGAAGAUGGCAACUCGAGCGAUGAGUCCACGGGCGAAGAGAUUGUUGUAACAGUGGACUCUCCCAGCAUGCUCUCUCUACAUCCAACGCGCUCCAGCCCGCCGCGAGGCAACUGA